rnacentral:rRNA from 1 species
GCAUAAUCAUUUGCCCCUUAAUUAGGGGCUAGUAUGAAUGAGUUAACGAGAUUCUUACUGUCUCAAGUAUAAAAAUAAAAACUAGCCUUUAGGUGAAGAGACCUAAAUCAAUUUAAAAGACAAGAAGACCCUGUCGAGCUUUAAUAUCUUAAAGAAUAAAAAUAAUUACCCUUUAUAAAUAUUUUUGUUGGGGCGACAAAGGAAUAUAUAAAACUUCCUAAAAAAAAAGAUUUCAAAUCAAUUACCAGACCCAUAUUAUAUGAUCAAAGAAUAAAGCUACCGCAGGGAUAACAGACUUAUUCUCCUUAAGAGCUCAAAUUUACAGGAGAGA